GACGAACGCUGGCGGCGUGCUUAACACAUGCAAGUCGAACGGAAAGGCCCUGCUUUUGUGGGGUGCUCGAGUGGCGAACGGGUGAGUAACACGUGAGUAACCUGCCCUUGACUUUGGGAUAACUUCAGGAAACUGGGGCUAAUACCGGAUAGGAUCUCCUGCUGCAUGGUGGGGGUUGGAUCGUUUCGGCGGGUGGGGAUGGACUCGCGGCUUAUCAGCUUGCUGGUGGGGUAGUGGCUUACCAAGGCUUUGACGGGUAGCCGGCCUGGGAGGGUGACCGGCGACAUUGGGACUGAGAGACGGCGCAGACUCCAACGGGGGACAGCAGUGGGAAGUCUUACACAAUGGGCGGAAGCCUGAGGCAGCAACGCCGCGUGCGUGAUGACGGCCUUCGGGUUGUAAACCGCUGUCGCCUGUGACGAAGCGUGAGUGACGGUAAUGGAUAAAGAAGCACCGGCUAACUACGUG
rnacentral:rRNA from 1 species